CCGGUUCGGGUAAAAUUUUGCUGAAUUGAACCGUAAAAAAGUUCGGUUCGGUUCUUGGCUAGUUCGUAUCAAAAAAUUUUACCGAAAUUUUUGGUUUAAAUUGAAUAAAAUUCAAAAAAAAAUUUUGUUCGGAUUUUGAUUAGUUCUGUUAUUUUGAUUCGGAUUUUGGUUAGUUCGGUUCGGAUUUUCGGUUAAUAUUGGUACUGUUUGAUUGUUUUUGUUACCAAACAUCCGAACCGAAAACCGAACUUUUCGGUUCGGUUCGGUUAAAAAUCCCAGCUCUAAUUAAUUAUAUAUGACUGAUAUUGUUUUAUCUUCUUAGGAUCCAAAAACUGAAAACAACCCUUACUUGGGUUUCAUCUACACAUCCUUUCAAGAAAGAGCGACCUUCAUCUCCCAUGGAAACACUGCCAGACACGCUAAAGAUCUUGGAGAUUUGAAACUUGCGCAGAUAUGCGGGACCAUUGCUGCUGACGAGAAGCGCCACGAGACUGCUUACACCAAGAUUGUGGAGAAGCUCUUCGAAAUCGACGCUGAUGGCACCAUCUUGGGAUUGGCUGAUAUGAUGAAGAAAAAGAUCUCGAUGCCUGCGCAUUUGAUGUAUGACGGCCAAGAUGAUAACCUGUUUGAGCACUUCUCGACCGUUGCCCAGAGGCUUGGUGUUUACACGGCCAAGGACUAUGCUGAUAUUCUGGAGUUUCUUGUUGAACGGUGGAACGUUGAGACUUUGUCAGGCCUUUCUAGUGAAGGACACAAGGCUCAGGUAAAAUUACCAUCAUUAAACUUGUGAUGAAACCUAUCAGCUUAUGAAGUCUCUCUUAGUAGGUUUCUUCGUCAUGAAUAUAAUAUACUAGCUGGACGGCUUGAUCUGUUUUGUGUAUUUGAUCGGGGACAUGAACUUGAAUUCUGACUCUGUCAUUGCCUCUGACAGGACUUUGUCUGUGGAUUACCUGCAAGAAUCCGCAAGAUUGAAGAGAGAGCUCAAGGAAGAGCCAAAGAAGCAGCCAAAAACGUACCAUUCAGCUGGAUUUUUGGUCGGGAGAUUAGGGCUUAAGUAAACAUCUCUCUCUCUCUUUCAAAUGAUCCCCGAGUAAGCCGCCAUAAACAUCUCCACCGAUGACGUACCAGUCUUAAGACCUCGAAAGUUCAUUUGAAUAUGUUUUGUUUUAUACGGAACAUUGUAGAUAAUGUUAUGUUUUCUUGUUAGUCGAAGACCAUAAAAUGGUGUUUUGAGUGUUCCUAGUGAGUGAUAAUGUCUGGUUACCAAGAACAAAAAGACUUUUAAGAGUUUGGUUUUCUAUUUUCGAUUCUCUUUUUUGUUGUACCAGUACUUAAUAAUGUUCUCCCAUAAGCAAAGAACGGUUUGUAAUUUAAACCUCUUGUUCAAGUAACAACCAACCAAAAAGUGACCGUUUUAUUACCAUAACAAAGAUGAAACUUAAAAAUAACGUUUUAAUACAAUUGAAACGGAGUAAAGUCUUAUUAGAUGAAACCAUAACUGCAAACGCACAAAUCAAAACUGUUUCUUCUUUUACUCUCAAAUUAAAAGAAGAAGAAAGACUCUGUUCACGAUCUUGUUUAGCUUCUAAAAACUUUAAAGAUCAUGUUUCCCAAGAAACCAGCUGAUUCAUCUACCACACAUCAACACAGCUUCGACGAGUCUCGAUGGGUCAACAACGUCAGAAAAUCUCUCGACGCAGAGCUCGAAGACCACCCUCUCGAACAAGUCACAGUCAGCAUUUUCACCGUCCCUAAAGCUUUAAUGUCUACCCACCAAGACUCAUACACACCUCAGCGAGUCUCCAUCGGACCUUACCACUGUCUCAAACCAGAGCUUCACGAAACAGAGAGGUACAAACUAACGAUCGCUAGAAAAUUUCGAAACAAUUCCAAAUCUUUCAGGUUUCACGACCUCGUCGAGAAGCUGCAAUCAUUGGAGGCCAAGAUCAGAGCUUGCUAUCAUAAGUACAUCGCGCUGAGCGACGAGACUCUGCUGUGGAUAAUGGCGAUCGACUCUUCGUUCUUGAUCGAGUUUCUUAAGGUUUAUUACGGUUUCGGAAAGGUCGAGACUUUGAUUAACAGAGUCGGCCACAACGAGAUUCUUAGAGAUGUAAUGAUGUUAGAGAAUCAAAUCCCGUUGUUCGUUUUGAGGAAAACGCUCGAAGUUCAGCUCGAAUCGAAGGAAUCAGCUGAUGCUCUGUUGGUCUCUGUUCUCACUGGACUCUGCAGAGACCUCUCUCCCCUCGUUGUUAAAUUCGAAGAUGGUGAGAUUCUGAAGGCUGAGAUUCAUGAGUGCAAUCAUAUCCUAGACUUCUUGUAUCAGAUGAUCGUUCCAAGAAUCGAAGAAGAAGAGGAAGAAGAAGAAGAAAACAGAGCAGGCGAAAACAGAGCAUGUAAGCUUCUGAGAGAGAUGAAGCUUCAGUUCAAAAGGGUCUUCGCGUCUCGACCUGCUGAUGUCAUCCUGAGACUCCCAUGGAGAGUCAUAUCGAAUCUCCCCGGCUUCAUCGCUAUACUUUUAUCAAUGGGUCACACUGCUAUUUUAAUAGAAUAGAUGUGAUAUAAAUUUUAUGAUUAGUUAAUGAUUCCCUAUUUGCGUAUAUUGACGUUCGUGCAAGUCUUGAUAAUAAACGAUUUAAAUCUGACAUGUAUUCUUCGACUCUUCGGUUAGAAUAGUAGUUGUUGAUUUUUGAAAAUAAAAGUAGUCGAAAGUCCACCCAUCUCUCGAUUAAAAUGGUAACAAACGGUUGCAUAUUUAUCAUGCGUCCAAAACAAUAUAACUGUCCAAUAACUAAAUUACCUUUAUGCCAUUAGUGAAGGGUAACUAGACCUUUGUAAAAGUGAUGGUAAAAUAAGUAAUAUAAAUAGUUGGACUAAACUUAUAUCAAUAGGUCAAGAUGUUAGUUUUUAAUAUAAUAGACUAAAUUCUGACCCGUCCUUUAAGGACGGGUAUAUUUUUUGUUUUACAUCUUUUUAGGUCUUUUCAAUUGGUAAUUUAAAUAUAAGUUUAAUAACAUAAAGCAUAAUAAAUAAUAUUUUAAAUAAUGAUAAAGAUAAAAAAAAUAAUAAUUGGACAUACUUUUAUCAAUGGGUCACAGUGCUAUUUUAAUAGAAUAGAUGUGAUAUAAAUUUUAUGAUUAGUUAAUGAUUCCCUAUUUGCGUAUAUUGACGUUCGUGCAAGUCUUGAUAAUAAACGAUUUAAAUCUGACAUGUAUUCUUCGACUCUUCGGUUAGAAUAGUAGUUGUUGAUUUUUGAAAAUAAAAGUAGUCGAAAGUCCACCCAUCUCUCGAUUAAAAUGGUAACAAACGGUUGCAUAUUUAUCAUGCGUCCAAAACAAUAUAACUGUCCAAUAACUAAAUUACCUUUAUGCCAUUAGUGAAGGGUAACUAGACCUUUGUAAAAGUGAUGGUAAAAUAAGUAAUAUAAAUAGUUGGACUAAACUUAUAUCAAUAGGUCAAGAUGUUAGUUUUUAAUAUAAUAGACUAGAUUCUGACCCGUCCUUAAAGGACGGGUAUAUUUUUUGUUUUACAUCUUUUUAGGUCUUUUCAAUUGGUAAUUUAAAUAUAAAUUUAAUAACAUAAAGCAUAAUAAAUAAUAUUUUAAAUAAUGAUAAAGAUAAAAGAAAUAAUAAUUGGACCAUACUUUUAUCAAUGGGUCACACUGCUAUUUUAAUAGAAUAGAUUUAAAUAUAGGUCUAAUGGCAUAAAACAUAAUAAAUAAUAUUUUAAAUAAUGAUAAAGAUAAAAGAAAUAAUAGUUGGACGAUACUUUUAUCAAUGGGUCACACUGCUAUUUUAAUAGAAUAGAUUCUGGAUGAUGUGGUUAUGUCUAAAAGGACACUUAUUUUGCCAGGUCCGGUUCGUGUAGUCUUGUUAGCCUGUUCUUAAGUAAAGAGCGUUGGAUUAUGACCAGUUUAAGGUCUGUAUCUACUCUUACACGUUUAAAAUAAGUGCAGAUUUAAUAAUGGUUCUAGCUGGGCCAGAGUGGACCGGCUAGUAUUAGACGUACCAUAACCAAGGACUACGUUAUUCAACAUAUAACCGCGUAAUGAGAAUAUGAUAUAAUUUGGGGUGAUGGUUCUGUAGAUAACUAAUAAAUGCAUGGAAGAACUAACUUACCAUGCCAAGGAACAGCAUGUGCACAUUAUCAUAACUCACAAAGCCUCUCUGUCAUCUACGCAGAGAUUCUUUCUCUCUCAAACACUCAUAAACACAUUAAUUAUCCGCUAGAGUUUGACUUUUUUUCCCGGAGGAAACAUGGCGUCGAACCAUGAGUUUCUUGCUCGGUUCGUCGAGGAGACAACGUUUUACAACCGAAUAGUUCUGAGCCACCUUUUGCCGGCGAAUCUAUGGGAGCCUUUGCCACAUUUCCUCCAAACAUGGCUCCGGAACUACCUAGCCGGAAACUUACUUUACUUCAUCUCCGGCUUCCUCUGGUGCUUCUACAUCUAUUACCUUAAACUCAACGUUUACGUCCCUCAAGGUGAGAUUAUUUUUUCAGUUCGUCUUAUUUUUGAGCUCUCUUUUUUUUUAAUGAAUCUACAAUAUUCUUCAGAUUCUGUUCCUACAAGAAAGGCAAUGAUUCUACAAAUAUAUGUGGCAAUGAAGGCUAUGCCUUGGUCCACACUUGUUCCAACUGUCUCUGAGUAUAUAAUCGAGCGUGGUUGGACCAAAUGUUACUCUACACUUGAUCAGUUCAACUGGUGCCUCUGUUUGGUUUACAUCGCGUUUUAUCUUGUUUUAGUUGAGUUUAUGAUUUAUUGGGUUCACAAAAUGACUCAUGACAAUAAAUUUCUCUAUAAGCAUCUCCAUGCAACCCACCAUAUGUACAACAAGCAAAACACACUCUCUCCAUUUGCUGGUUAGUCACAUUCUUAUUUCUUAAGAACUCUCUUUCAAACCUGCUUGCCCUGGGAGUUAACUUUAACCUUAUCUUCGAUAAUGUUGAAACUAACAUUCAAAUCGAACGGCCGGUCUAUAAAUUUGGUGCUAAGAUUCAUGAGUUUCCAACUUAGUUACAAUUGGCAAUAAGUGGAUUGGUCUAGAUGUCUUAUAUAUUAUUUAUGUUUCAUCGAAACUCUUAAUUUGGGGGAUUUUAUUCUUAUACUCUCUUUAGUGAUUAAACUUCAUGACCUAUUAAUCUUUACAUAGUCCCAAUACUUGGUAAUAAAUUUUUUCUGUCAACUUGGUAAUAUAUAACAUUGCUUGAAAGUUUUUCGGGUUUUCAGGGCUUGCGUUCCAUCCAUUGGAUGGGAUACUUCAGGCAGUACCGCAUGUGAUAGCUCUGUUCAUAGUGCCGAUACAUCUCAUAACACAUUUGAGUCUUUUUAUUAUGGAAGGGAUAUGGACAGUGAGCAACCAUGAUUGCAUCAAUGGUAACAUAUGGCCUAUAAUGGGUGCAGGACACCAUACCAUACACCAUACAACAUACAAGCAUAACUAUGGCCAUUAUACCAUAUGCAUGGAUUGGCUGUUUGGCUCACUUAAGGUCCCUUUAGCUGAAGACGACAGCUUUAAUGAGAAAGAAAAGUGAUAUGUUCAACGUACACAUUUUUUUUGUUGUCCUUCAUGUGUUUUUCUACUCCUGAGUCUUAAACCUUUGUAAUAUCACUUUGUUAGAAUAAGAAACAUGAUUGCACUAUUAGCUACAAAGUUUCUUACUUGUCUUCAAAGAAUACUUAGUUUGGUAAGUAGAAGGUUGAUAAAGAUACAACACUAGCAUCUAUAAUAGGCAAAGUUUGUACUUUUCAGUUAAGGUAAGAAAUCUAAAAACAUAAAAAUAGAGAAAAUUAAAGGUAGUAUAAAAUAUAGCCAAGUAUACGCUUUCAUAAUCAACUAGUUCUUGUAGAUGGGUCACAUAGAAAGCAUAAAUAUCUGCCAAUGCUCCCACUUGUGUUGAAUGGGUUGUCCCACAGAGUCACAGAUCUCUAUGCCUACACAUUUAAUAUUGUUAUGGCUCCUUUAACUACUGUGAUGUUUAAGUGCAGACUUUUCUCAGAUCAGAAGAAAACCAGUUAGUUGGGGCAAUGACAUAUUUAGCUCACCAUAAAAUUGCUAAAAAAAAAAGCUCACCAUAAGAAUGAGUUGUGAAAUAUAGAAUCACCAAGUCAUUAUUAGAAACGUUGUCAAUGGAUUUGAUUCUUGAUGUUUAAAACUGUUGGGAUUAGUCGAAGCAUAAUUUAGGCCCAAUAAUUUGACAAAAGAAUGAGUCAUAUAUCAUUCGGCCCAUGGGCCUGUGAAAAAAGCAGCGAAAAAUAUCUGAGUGUGGCAUUGACGUAAAUAAAAGAGCACCUGAGGGAUAUUCUAGAGAAGAAAAAUAAAAGUUGCAUACAUACACAUGUCCAUGGCUCGAUCAUCACGCCCACCCAAAACCUUCACAUUUGUCACAGUCUCGUAGCAGCAAUCAAACAUAGAAAUAAUCGACCUUCGGGAUCCGUCCUUGUUCUUUAUUUAAAUCACUUCCAUUUAUCGAGUUUGUUAGAGUCUUAGAGAAUAAACUAAGAGAAAAAUGGCGAUGGCUAUGAGUCGGAUCGUACUUUCGCCUUCUUCUUACGCCUAUCGUCCUCGUCAAGCUCGUGGAUCCAGAUCCUCCAUUGCUUCUUCGAUUCGUUCCGCUACUACGUGAGCCUUUUCUCCCUUCAUUGUCGUAAUCAUAUGUUUUGCUGAUCUGUGUGUUUUGGAUUGAAUGCCGAUGAUGAAUCUCUGUUAUCACCAAUGUUCAAAAAUAGCUAAGGCUGUAACUAGUCGUAUUAGCAACUAGGCGGAUUAUUUGGAAUCUAGGCCUAGCCUUCCUGGGGUUAACAAAUUAUUGACUGAUUUGAUGUAUUUUUACAUUCGUGUAAGAUAUUUUAGUUUUUAGAUCUAAUUAUAAAAUUAGUUCGAUGAAUUACUAAAAUUAGAUAUAUAUAUAAAACAAAAAAAAAAUAGUCAAAAUUUGUGGAUUUGUACCAACAUUAUUAACAAAUUUAGACUAAUUUAAAUUAAUUUAGAAUGGCUUAAACCGAUUUAAAAUAGCUUAAAUCUUAUAUAAAUCGAAUAUUUUAAAAAACCAUUUCGGCUCGCAUCGAUUUUUAGGACAAAUUUUAUUAUCAUGGUUAUUACUAAUUCAUCGAGGAAGACAUAUAUACUGUCUGAAGCUUAUUGGUGUUUUUUCAGGAUUGUUGUGUGUAGUACUGCUAAGUCUAUUUUAUUUUCAUCACUCGCUCAAGUCCUGAGUUUGAAACUCUAUUUGGUUUAAUUACAGGGAGGUUACUAACGGAAGGAAGCUCUACAUCCCUCCACGAGAAGUGCAUGUCCAAGUUAAACACUCCAUGCCGCCGCAAAAGCUCGAGAUGUUCAAAUCCUUGGAAGGAUGGGCUGACGAGACCCUCUUGACCUACUUAAAACCCGUCGAGAAGUCGUGGCAGCCGACAGAUUUUCUCCCGGAAGCCGAGUCAGAAGGGUUCUAUGACCAAGUCAAAGAGUUAAGGGAACGGUGUAAGGAGCUUCCCGACGAGUAUUUCGUGGUGCUUGUCGGUGAUAUGAUCACUGAAGAAGCGCUUCCGACUUACCAGACCAUGUUGAACACGUUGGAUGGUGUUAGGGAUGAGACGGGAGCUAGUCCUACUCCUUGGGCGGUGUGGACUAGGGCGUGGACUGCUGAAGAGAAUAGGCAUGGGGAUUUGCUUAACAAGUAUCUUUAUUUGUCUGGGAGAGUUGACAUGAGGCAGAUUGAGAAGACUAUUCAGUACCUUAUUGGCUCUGGAAUGGUAAGCUUCUCUGAUUUGUAUUCUAUGUUUCUCAUGUAUGAUUAAUUUAUAGGCCUGCCGGUUCGGGUAAAAUUUUGCUGAAUUGAACCGUAAAAAAGUUCGGUUCGGUUCUUGGCUAGUUCGUAUCAAAAAAUUUUACCGAAAUUUUUGGUUUAAAUUGAAUAAAAUUCAAAAAAAAAUUUUGUUCGGAUUUUGAUUAGUUCUGUUAUUUUGAUUCGGAUUUUGGUUAGUUCGGUUCGGAUUUUCGGUUAAUAUUGGUACUGUUUGAUUGUUUUUGUUACCAAACAUCCGAACCGAAAACCGAACUUUUCGGUUCGGUUCGGUUAAAAAUCCCAGCUCUAAUUAAUUAUAUAUGACUGAUAUUGUUUUAUCUUCUUAGGAUCCAAAAACUGAAAACAACCCUUACUUGGGUUUCAUCUACACAUCCUUUCAAGAAAGAGCGACCUUCAUCUCCCAUGGAAACACUGCCAGACACGCUAAAGAUCUUGGAGAUUUGAAACUUGCGCAGAUAUGCGGGACCAUUGCUGCUGACGAGAAGCGCCACGAGACUGCUUACACCAAGAUUGUGGAGAAGCUCUUCGAAAUCGACGCUGAUGGCACCAUCUUGGGAUUGGCUGAUAUGAUGAAGAAAAAGAUCUCGAUGCCUGCGCAUUUGAUGUAUGACGGCCAAGAUGAUAACCUGUUUGAGCACUUCUCGACCGUUGCACAGAGGCUCGGUGUCUACACUGCGAAGGACUAUGCUGAUAUUCUGGAGUUUCUUGUUGAACGGUGGAACGUUGAGACUUUGUCAGGCCUUUCUAGUGAAGGACACAAGGCUCAGGUACAUUACCAUCAUAAAACUUGUGAUGAAACCUAUCAGCUUAUGAAGUCUCUCUUAGUAGGUUUCUUCGUCAUGAAUAUAAUAUACUAGCUGGACGGCUUGAUCUGUUUUGUGUAUUUGAUCGGGGACAUGAACUUGAAUUCUGACUCUGUCAUUGCCUCUGACAGGACUUUGUCUGUGGAUUACCUGCAAGAAUCCGCAAGAUUGAAGAGAGAGCUCAAGGAAGAGCCAAAGAAGCAGCCAAAAACGUACCGUUCAGCUGGAUUUUUGAUCGAGAGAUUAGGGCUUAAGUUAAACAUCUCUCUCUCUCUUUCAAAUGAUCCCCGAGUAAGCUGCCAUAAACAUCUUCACCGAUGACGUACCAGUCUUAAGACCUCGAAAGUUCAUUUGAAUAUGUUUUGUUUUAUACGGAACAUUGUAGAUAAUGUUAUGUUUUCUUGUUAGUCGAAGACCAUAAAAUGGUGUUUUGAGUGUUCCUAGUGAGUGAUAAUGUCUGGUUACCAAGAACAAAAAGACUUUUAAGAGUUUGGUUUUCUAUUUUCGAUUCUCUUUUUUGUUGUACCAGUACUUAAUAAUGUUCUCCCAUAAGCAAAGAACGGUUUGUAAUUUAAACCUCUUGUUCAAGUAACAACCAACCAAAAAGUGACCGUUUUAUUACCAUAACAAAGAUGAAACUUAAAAAUAACGUUUUAAUACAAUUGAAACGGAGUAAAGUCUUAUUAGAUGAAACCAUAACUGCAAACGCACAAAUCAAAACUGUUUCUUCUUUUACUCUCAAAUUAAAAGAAGAAGAAAGACUCUGUUCACGAUCUUGUUUAGCUUCUAAAAACUUUAAAGAUCAUGUUUCCCAAGAAACCAGCUGAUUCAUCUACCACACAUCAACACAGCUUCGACGAGUCUCGAUGGGUCAACAACGUCAGAAAAUCUCUCGACGCAGAGCUCGAAGACCACCCUCUCGAACAAGUCACAGUCAGCAUUUUCACCGUCCCUAAAGCUUUAAUGUCUACCCACCAAGACUCAUACACACCUCAGCGAGUCUCCAUCGGACCUUACCACUGUCUCAAACCAGAGCUUCACGAAACAGAGAGGUACAAACUAACGAUCGCUAGAAAAUUUCGAAACAAUUCCAAAUCUUUCAGGUUUCACGACCUCGUCGAGAAGCUGCAAUCAUUGGAGGCCAAGAUCAGAGCUUGCUAUCAUAAGUACAUCGCGCUGAGCGACGAGACUCUGCUGUGGAUAAUGGCGAUCGACUCUUCGUUCUUGAUCGAGUUUCUUAAGGUUUAUUACGGUUUCGGAAAGGUCGAGACUUUGAUUAACAGAGUCGGCCACAACGAGAUUCUUAGAGAUGUAAUGAUGUUAGAGAAUCAAAUCCCGUUGUUCGUUUUGAGGAAAACGCUCGAAGUUCAGCUCGAAUCGAAGGAAUCAGCUGAUGCUCUGUUGGUCUCUGUUCUCACUGGACUCUGCAGAGACCUCUCUCCCCUCGUUGUUAAAUUCGAAGAUGGUGAGAUUCUGAAGGCUGAGAUUCAUGAGUGCAAUCAUAUCCUAGACUUCUUGUAUCAGAUGAUCGUUCCAAGAAUCGAAGAAGAAGAGGAAGAAGAAGAAGAAAACAGAGCAGGCGAAAACAGAGCAUGUAAGCUUCUGAGAGAGAUGAAGCUUCAGUUCAAAAGGGUCUUCGCGUCUCGACCUGCUGAUGUCAUCCUGAGACUCCCAUGGAGAGUCAUAUCGAAUCUCCCCGGCUUCAUCGCUCUGAACUAUCUCUUCACCAGACAAGAAAACGAAGAAGCAGCAGCAACGGUCUCUGUUUCCGACAUCGAGAAGCCUCCUCUAGUCUCCGAACUCACAAUCCCAUCGGUCUCCGAACUCCACAAAGCAGGAGUCAAGUUCAAACCAACACAAAACGGCAACGUUUCGACCGUUUCAUUCGACUCAAACUCAGGCCACUUCCACCUCCCUGUGAUAAACCUAGACAUCAACACGGAGACCGUUCUUCGAAACCUCGUGGCCUACGAAGCUUCGAACACUUCGGGAGGACCAUUAGUGUUCACUCGUUACACUGAGCUGAUGAACGGGAUCAUCGAUUCGGAGGAAGACGUUAGGUUGCUUAGAGAGCAAGGCGUUCUUGUGAGCCGUCUCAAGAGCGAUGAAGAAGCUGCGGAGAUGUGGAACGGUAUGAGCGAAUCAGUGAGGUUGACCAAAGUUGGGUUCUUGGAUAAGACUAUUGAGGAUGUGAACCGGUAUUAUACCGGACGGUGGAAAGUUAAGAUUGGGAGAUUUGUUGAGGUUUAUGUUUAUGGUUCUUGGAAGAUUUUUGCGUUUUUGGCGGCGGUUUUGUUGUUGAUUCUGGUUUCGUUGCAAGUGCUCUCGUUGGUGUUUAGCUCGUUGAGACUGGUUGGGUUGAGAACCGGUUAGGGGGAUUGCAAUUGGUGAUGAUGUGAUUUGAAUUUGGUUUGGUUUGAUUUUCUCUAUGGUUCCCUUUUGAUUUGGUUCAUGUUGAACCAUGUAUGAAACUGAAACCAGCGUGGUUCUGUUGUGUUGUCUAAACACAUUUAUCCGAAACCAAAAACUGAAAUCUGGGUCAGUUUUGGAUCGAUGGAUCUCAUAUUUUUUAAAUCGAAAAAUUGAAAUCAAAUAAAAAACCGAAUGAAUAUUCAUACUUUUAUAAUAUAUAUAGUUUAUACACUUAUAAAUAUUAAUUAACUAUAUUUAGUUUUAUAAUAAUCUUAAAUACGUUUAUAAUUCAAAUUAUAAAAAAAAUCUAAAUAUUUUUUUUAUCUGACAUGCUCAAAAAUUAAUCGGAAAACCAGAACCAAAUUGAAAUAGUAGUUAUUUCAGAUAUUAGUUGGUUUUCAGUUUUGUUAUACGAACCGAAUUGGAGCUGAAAUAAUCAAACUUAAAUCAAACCGAAUUUUCUAAAUAUUUGAAUAUGUCCUAAAUCUCUAGAACCCCAAUCCGAAUCAAUACCCAAAAUGGCCAGACUUAUCUUUGUUAGUUGUUACUGUAAGAAUUUUUUAUUUGCAACUAAAGUGCUCCAUUUUUAGUUUCUUCCAAUUAUCUCCUCAAAUAUCGAAAUUGAGAGAGAACAAAUAGGGUUGUUGGGUUUAGAAUCAGAAACUGCAGCUUGAAGAUAGUCUGAGAGAGAGAGAGAGAAAGCAGAAAUGUUGAGAUCCGUGUUGCGGAGAUCGCAAAACCUCGCCUUUACUCGAAUCUCCACGAAGAAGACUCCAUUGCUAACACCCAUUUCCAGAUUCGCACACGGCAAUGCUUCACCCAGAAGCCUCAGGCUCUUCUCCACGAGCCCUACGGACGAGAUCCCAAUCUCGUCAUCCGCAGAGCUUACCCACGAAGAAUCCAAUGCUCCCGGUUUAGGGUUUACCGAAAGUGGCGAUUUUGAUGUGAAUGGUGAAGAUGGAGAGUCUCACAUUUCUCCAAUCGAAGCUUCUGGAGACGGGUCCGUUGUAGCUGAGGAGGUGAGCCAAUUCGACGAGGAAAAGUUCGAAUCUUUGCUGUCUUUGUUACGAGGCGAUGAGGAAGCUUUGGAGUUUGGUCUGAAGGCGUUAGAUCUCGAUUUGAACUCAGAUCUUGUGGGGAGAGUGUUUGAAUCUCCAGGAAUUAAAGGUAAGAACUUGAUUAGGUUCUUGAAAUGGGCAACUAAGAAAGAAGACAUCACUGUCACCACAUCGCUUUUAGAGUCUCUCCUUGUAGUAAUCUCUGGUGAUAGACGUAGGUUGGAUGCUUAUGCUCUGUGGGAUUUGGUUAAAGAGAUUAGUGAGAGUGAGAGUAGCCUUGUUUUGAAUCUUGCGAUAAUGAAUGAUCUGAUAGCUUUGUUUGGGAAGCUUGGCAAGUCCAAAGCUGCUUUCGAUGUGUUUAGUAAAACCGAGGAGCUUGGCUUUACUUUGAAUGCCAAGACUUAUUAUGUAACACUGGAGGCGCUUUGUAAGCGGUCGUUUAUGGAAUGGGCGUGCGUUGUGUGCGAGAAGAUGCUCAAGAGCGGUGUGUUACCAGAGGGAGACCAGAUUGGUAACAUCAUUACUUUGUUUUGUAAGGAAGGGAAGGCUGAGGAGGCUUAUUCUGUUUACGAACUGGCUAAGACGAAAGAGAAGUUGCCUCCUUCUAGAUCUGUUGCUACUCUGAUAAGUGCGCUGAGCAAGAAUGAUGGGACUGUUGGGUUUGCUCAGGAGUUGUUGAGUGAUUUAUCUGGAGAUGCUAGGCGACAGGGGAUCAAACCGUUUUCUGAUGUGAUCCAGAGUUUAUGCAGGAUGAAGAAUGUUAAAGACGCUAAAGGUUUGGUCCUGGAUAUGAUCUCUAAAGGACCUGCUCCUGGGAAUGCGGUUUUCAAUUUGAUUGUGCACGCUUGUUCGAGAAGUGGAGAUCUAGAUGAAGCCAAAGAGGUUUUGAAGUUGAUGGAGAGUAGAGGUUUGAAACCAGAUGUGUACACUUACACUGUCAUCAUCAGCGGGUAUGCUAAAGGAGGGAUGAUGAAUGACGCCCGAGAAAUUCUAGCGGAAGCGAAAAAGAAACAUAAGAAUCUUAGUCCUGUGAUGUAUCACUCACUCAUCAGAGGCUACUGCAAGAUUGAAGAGUAUGACGAAGCUCUUGAGCUUUUGAAUGAAAUGGAGAGUUUCGGUGUGAAGCCUAGUGCGGAUGAGUAUAGUAAGCUGAUUCAGUCGUUGUGCCUCAAAGCAUUGGAUUGGGAGAAAGCAGAGAUGCUGUUUGAGGAGAUGAAGCAGAAGGGGUUGCAUCUGAAUGCUAUUACUCAGGGGCUGAUAAGAGCAGUUAAAGAGAUGCAAUCUGAAGGCAAGGCAACCGAAGAUGCUAAUCUACUUGCUGCAGCAUAGAACUUGGAUUUUGAUAUUUUACAUUUGUUCUAUCAAUCUGGAAUAGCUUUUGAAGAUGUUUUCUCUUGGUUUGAAACUCCAGACAGUGCCUUGUUUGUUCUCCAAUAAGCUUUUAUGGUGUUCAAUCACAGUACUCAUCAUCAUCAAGCAAUGUUUUUCAUCAUAAUUAGUUAUAAAUUCGAUCUAGUCACUAUAUAAUCAAACAGUUUCAAAUUCAUAAACUUAUUAAUGAUUCAAUGCUAAUUCAUAACAAAAACAAAUCAUGAUAGAUACAUAGUACAGUUUUUUUAUAAAAGAAAUAAAAAUUUAGGAGAUUCUGAUGACCACUUUGUUCUUCUUGCCUGAAGAGAGAACAAGACCUUUCCCUUCAACUCUCUUAUUCUCAUCAUCAACUCUCUUAUUCUCAUAUAAACCCCACCUUGCUUCAACGUUCUCCUUGCUGCAGAUUUGCUCUCAAACAGCCCCGCAGAAACCGAUACAUCCACAACAGAAACACCUGAGACUCUAUCAACAGGCAGUGAGCAAACGACAUUUUGAUAACGUGUUCAUGUUCUGAGAUAUAUAUAUCCAAAGAAAAGGAAAGUGCUAUACUAAUCAUGAAUUCAUCAAUUCUAAUCUCAAGCCUUAGAGCAGGAUUAUCUUGGGAAGGGAUUUUUAGUGGGGAUUUUAGGUGGGUGACCCCACAAAAAGGAAAAAUCGGUUAUAGGAAAACCAAAAUAAGGAUCGCUGUUCAGGGGGGUUUUUGAACUGUUUGCGGACCUCACUGACACGUGGC
rnacentral:lncRNA from 1 species